rnacentral:lncRNA from 1 species
CUAUCCGCCCAAGGCUCAUCACAUGUAUAAAUUCAAACAAGAAAUGCACUAGCGGAAACAUACACAAACGGCUUACACGAGGGUAAGCAAUAGCCAUUAGUGAAAGAAAGAAAAACUAAACAUUUAUAAGUACUAUGAUUCAAUUUAGAUCAUAUACAUACAUCCAACUUGUAAUUUUUCGAAUUUCUUACAUUUCGUUUCAUCAUUUCUUUCUUACAUCACAUUUACCUCAAAAUACACAUUACAUUCUUUUCUUUACAUCAUUCAUCAUCAAGUACAAAAGAUGA